CAUUCUGAAACGUUGCUGCUCUGUCUCAGUGUGGAUGGGGGAAAAUAGAGACAUCUGGAAACGGAGGCGGGGCUGCCGAGAUUCGCUACCUGAUUGAGGCUUUUGUGUCAUUGCGUAUCCUUCCCUUAUUCGUCAAGCCCCUACCACAUGACAAUAACACAUGGCUUUAAUGCUACCCGAAGACAGUACUGUAAACAACAACAUGGGCACAGAAAUGGAAGCGUUGUUUGCACUAUUGUCUGUUUUAGGCGCCAUUGUGCAGUUAUUCGUUACGUUUAGUAACAACUCGACCUCGUCGUCUGUCCACAAAAUACCUCUCUUGCUUUCUUUGCCAUCACGUUCAUUGUUCAACCGGCGUUUGUUGACUAAAAAUAACCAAAUGCCAAGCAAGACACAUGCUUCCUGUUUAUACUGGAACGUGCAUGCCCAGAGUGCGCGAAUGGUCACGUGAUAUACGGUUUUGUGGCGUAGUGUGGACGGAGAUAUGUUCAGAAACGCUAGUGUGGACGCGGAUCGUUUUUGAUCUAAAACGCCGUUUUAAAACUAAAACGCACUAGUGUAAACGGGGCCUGAGAUACAUAGAG
rnacentral:lncRNA from 1 species